AUGAGGGUAGCUCUGUAACUGCUGUUUGAAUUAAACUUAAGGACUUCAAAUGUUCCAUUGGCUUCAAGAUUUCAGGGAAUUUGGAAAAUCUAAAGCACCUGGUGAGAACAAGACUCCCAAGACAUUUCAAGUUACAGAUGGAUGAGGGUAGCUCUGUAACUGCUGUUUCAAUUAAACUUAAGGACUUCAAAUGUUCCAUUGGCUUCAAGAUUUCAGGGAAUUUGGAAAAGCUAGAGCAAUUGGUGAGAUCAAGACUCUCAAGAUAUUUCAAGUUACAGAUUGAUGAGGGUAGCUCUGUAACUGCUGUUUCAAUUAAACUUAAGGACUUCAAAUGUUCCAUUGGCUUCAAGAUUUCAGGGAAUUUGGAAAAUCUAGAGCAAUUGCUGAGAUCAAGCCUCUCAAGAUAUUUCAACUUACAGAUUGAUGAAGGUAGCUCUGUAACUGCUGUUUGUCUUAAACUUAAGGACUUCAAAUGUUCCAUUGGCUCCAAGAUUUCAGGGAACUUGGAAAAUCUAAAGCACCUGGUGAGAACAAGACUCUCAAGAUAUUUCAAGUUACAGAUUGAUGAGGGUAGCUCU
rnacentral:lncRNA from 1 species